rnacentral:rRNA from 1 species
AGGAUCAUUAUCAAAAAAAAUUGGUAUUUUUUUUCCCAUUUCCCUUGUGUAUCUAUUCCACGUUGCUUCCACUAGACAGGUAUAUAAUAUGAUAGAAUCUUUAGUAUUCCAAAAGUAUUUUGCCCUUCAUCCAUUUUAAAUCUAGUGGUUGAUGUAAGUGUCGGUGGAUAGCCAUAAACAAAAAAAAAUCUAUUUUAAAUCCAGUCUGAUAAACCAAAUAAAAACAUGAAAAAAACUUUCAACAACGGAUCUCUAGGCUCUUGCAUCGAUGAAGAACGCAGUGAAAUGUGAUAAGUAAUGUGAAUUGCAGAAUCUCGUGAAUCAUCGAAUCUUUGAACGCACAUUGCGCCCAAUGGUAUUCCAUUGGGCAUACCUGUUUGAGUGUCUGAAAUCCUUCCUAUGAUCAAACUUUUAUAUAUAUAUAUAUAAAGAUGUUUGGAACAAAACACUUGAGAAAAGGAAUACUAUUGUUAUUAUAAUAUUGCUUUCUUAAAAAUGAGAUACAUACGUUCGGAUUUCAUUUCCAACUCAUUUUGUAUAUAGUAUAGCAAAUGAGCGUGGAUGAAAACCAGUACUUUGGAUGACCUCAAAUCAGGUAGGGAUACCCGCUGAACUUAAGCAUAUCAAUAAGCGGAGGAAAAGAAACCAACAGGGAUUGCCUCAGUAACGGCGAGUGAAGCGGCAAAAGCUCAGAUUUGAAAUCUGGUGUUUUAUUAACAUCCGAGUUGUAAUCUGUAGAGGAGUAUUUUUUGAGUAUUACUUUGGUUAAAGUUCCUUGGGAAAGGGCAUCAUAGAGGGUGAGAAUCCUGUUUAUGGCCAUAGUAUUUCUCUAUUAUAAAUCUCCUUCAAUGAGUCGAGUUGUUUGGGAAUGCAGCUCUAAAUGGGUGGUAAAUUCCAUCUAAAGCUAAAUAUUGGCAAGAGACCGAUAGCGCACAAGUAGAGUGAUCGAAAGAUGAAAAGAACUCUGAACAGAGAGUUAAAAAGUACGUGAAAUUGUUGAAAGGGAAGCACUUGUGACCAGGCAAAAUUGCAAUUAAUCAGCCAUCAGUCUUGGUGGUGCACUUGAUUGUAAGUGGGUUAGCAUCAGUUAUAGCAGUAGGACAAAAAUCAAAGGAAUGUAGCUCCUCUUUGAGGAGUGUUAGAGCCUUUAGUUUAAUACUGCUUGCUAUAACUGAGGAUAGCACUUUC